AGCGAACGCUGGCGGCAGGCCUAACACAUGCAAGUCGAACGAACCUUUCGGGGUUAGUGGCGGACGGGUGAGUAACACGUGGGAACGUGCCUUUAGGUUCGGAAUAACUCAGGGAAACUUGUGCUAAUACCGCAUGUGCCCUUCGGGGGAAAGAUUAAUCGCCUUUAGAGCGGCCCGCGUCUGUUUAGCUAGUUGGUUGAGGUAAUGGCUCACCAAGGCGACGAUCAGUAGCUGGUCUGAGAGGAUGAUCAGCCACAUUGGGACUGAGACACGGCCCAAACUCCUACGGGAGGCAGCAGUGGGGAAUCUUGCGCAAUGGGCGAAAGCCUGACGCAGCCAUGCCGCGUGAAUGAUGAAGGUCUUAGGAUUGUAAAAUUCUUUCACCGGGGACGAUAAUGACGGUACCCGGAGAAGAAGCCCCGGCUAACUUCGUG
rnacentral:rRNA from 1 species